rnacentral:rRNA from 1 species
CGAGGCGAACCGGGGAAACUGAAACAUCUCAGUACCCCGAGGAAAAGAAAUCAACCGAGAUUCCUCCAGUAGCGGCGAGCGAACAGGGAGCAGCCCAGAGUCAACAUCAAUAUUUACCGCAGGAGAAAGAUCUGGAAAGGCCGGCAAUAAAGGGUGAUAGCCCCGUAUCUGAAGCGGUAAGUGUCGUGAACUCGAAGAGUAAGGCGGGACACGUGUUAUCCUGUCUGAAUAUGGGGGGACCAUCCUCCAAGGCUAAAUACUCCUGACUGACCGAUAGUGAACCAGUACCGUGAGGGAAAGGCGAAAAGAACCCCGGCGAGAGGAGUGAAAUAGAACCUGAAACCGUGUACGUACAAGCAGUAGGAGCACCCGAAAAGGUGUGACUGCGUACCUUUUGUAUAAUGGGUCAGCGACUUAUAUUCUGUAGCAAGGUUAACCGCAUAGGGGAGCCGUAGGGAAACCGAGUCUUAACUGGGCGUUAAGUUGCAGGGUAUAGACCCGAAACCCGGUGAUCUAGCCAUGGGCAGGUUGAAG